CUAUGGUUUCAGUGGUAUGGCAUCUGCUUUGCAUGCAGAAGGUCCCAGGUUCAAUUUCUGGCAUUGGGAAAGA